CACAAGCUCUCUUGUCUGCCGCCAUGUGAGAUGUGACUUUCAUCUUCCACCAUGAUUGUGGAGCCUCCCCAGCAACGUGGAACUGGGACAUCCAUCGAUAUUUUUCUGCCAGAGCCAAAGUUCUUCCACCAAAGCCAAACAUGGCUGAGAACCCAAAGCGAAGAAGCUUGCCAGCGGUGCUGAAGGUGCAGACGUCGACCAGCUGUACAUGCCCUUGAAUAUUACAUUAAAUAUUAAUCAGUGAGUACAGUAGGACUUGUAUCAAAACAGCAAACAUAAGAGAGCAUAUUUAUUGGCUUAUAGGAGAAUAUCUAAAGGUACUGUAGACCAUGAACAUCCUCACUUUCUCUUCAGUUCCCUUUACCUAUAACUACAAUAAUUACCAUUUUUAACUUGUUCAGGUACUAGUGAAGAAACACAGAGUACUAAAUUUUUCAGCUUAUUGCUAUUUCCUAUAAAACAUGGUCAAAGAAACGAAGUUAAAGUAGAUAGGCAAGGUAAACACAGAUUUAACAGUAGUUUAGUGUUACAUAUACCUGAGCUUAUAUGCUUUUUACCAAUAGGGAUAAUAAAAUAUCUAUAGACAUCUACUGGCUGAAAUUUUUUUCUGGUUAUGUUUUUUCAUUAAUAACAUAAUCCUAGUCCUAGAGUCUUGGUACAGUCCUACAUCAGUGUUGGAUAUACUUAAGGAGUAUUCAUUAAUGUUCUUCAUCUGGUUAUAAAAUUAUAAUUUUGAGCACACUACAAUAUUUUUUUUCUGUACAGAUUACAAUAAAACUUCAUUUACUGCUCUUUACAAAGCAAGUAUUUUGAAAAGACAGGCAAUCCACAUAGUAAAGCAUUGCCUUUUGGUUUUUUAGUCAAACAUUUCUCUACUCUAAGAGACAAAGAACCUGCCUUUUCUUAAAGUCUGAUGGAAAUAAGAU
rnacentral:lncRNA from 10 species